GACGAACGCUGGCGGCGUGCUUAACACAUGCAAGUCGAACGGAAAGGCCCUGCUUUUGUGGGGUGCUCGAGUGGCGAACGGGUGAGUAACACGUGAGUAACCUGCCCUUGACUUUGGGAUAACUUCAGGAAACUGGGGCUAAUACCGGAUAGGAGCUCCUUCUGCAUGGUGGUGGUUGGAAAGUUUCGGCGGUUGGGGAUUGACUCGCGGCUUAUCAGCUUGUUGGUGGGGUAGUGGCUUACCAAGGCUUUGACGGGUAGCCGGCCUGAGAGGGUGACCGGCCACAUUGGGACUGAGAUACGGCCCAGCCUCCUACGGGAGGCAGAAGUGGGGAAUUUUGCACAAUGGGCGGAAGCCUGAUGCAGCAACGCCGCGUGCGGGAUGACGGCCUUCGGGUUGUAAACCGCUUUCGCCUGUGACGAAGCGUGAGUGACGGUAAUGGGUAAAGAAGCACCGGCUAACUACGUG
rnacentral:rRNA from 1 species